rnacentral:rRNA from 1 species
AUGUUAGCGGCGGACGGGUGAGUAACACGUGGGUAACCUGCCUGUAAGACUGGGAUAACUCCGGGAAACCGGGGCUAAUACCGGAUGGUUGUCUGAACCGCAUGGUUCAGACAUAAAAGGUGGCUUCGGCUACCACUUACAGAUGGACCCGCGGCGCAUUAGCUAGUUGGUGAGGUAACGGCUCACCAAGGCGACGAUGCGUAGCCGACCUGAGAGGGUGAUCGGCCACACUGGGACUGAGACACGGCCCAGACUCCUACGGGAGGCAGCAGUAGGGAAUCUUCCGCAAUGGACGAAAGUCUGACGGAGCAACGCCGCGUGAGUGAUGAAGGUUUUCGGAUCGUAAAGCUCUGUUGUUAGGGAAGAACAAGUGCCGUUCAAAUAGGGCGGCACCUUGACGGUACCUAACCAGAAAGCCACGGCUAACUACGUGCCAGCAGCCGCGGUAAUACGUAGGUGGCAAGCGUUGUCCGGAAUUAUUGGGCGUAAAGGGCUCGCAGGCGGUUUCUUAAGUCUGAUGUGAAAGCCCCCGGCUCAACCGGGGAGGGUCAUUGGAAACUGGGGAACUUGAGUGCAGAAGAGGAGAGUGGAAUUCCACGUGUAGCGGUGAAAUGCGUAGAGAUGUGGAGGAACACCAGUGGCGAAGGCGACUCUCUGGUCUGUAACUGACGCUGAGGAGCGAAAGCGUGGGGAGCGAACAGGAUUAGAUACCCUGGUAGUCCACGCCGUAAACGAUGAGUGCUAAGUGUUAGGGGGUUUCCGCCCCUUAGUGCUGCAGCUAACGCAUUAAGCACUCCGCCUGGGGAGUACGGUCGCAAGACUGAAACUCAAAGGAAUUGACGGGGGCCCGCACAAGCGGUGGAGCAUGUGGUUUAAUUCGAAGCAACGCGAAGAACCUUACCAGGUCUUGACAUCCUCUGACAAUCCUAGAGAUAGGACGUCCCCUUCGGGGGCAGAGUGACAGGUGGUGCAUGGUUGUCGUCAGCUCGUGUCGUGAGAUGUUGGGUUAAAGUCCCGCAACGAGCGCAACCCUUGAUCUUAGUUGCCAGCAUUCAGUUGGGCACUCUAAGGUGACUGCCGGUGACAAACCGGAGGAAGGUGGGGAUGACGUCAAAUCAUCAUGCCCCUUAUGACCUGGGCUACACACGUGCUACAAUGGACAGAACAAGGGCAGCGAAACCGCGAGGUUAAGCCCAAUC